rnacentral:rRNA from 1 species
UUGACGGGGGCCCGCACAAGCGGCGGAGCAUGUGGCUUAAUUCGAUGCAACGCGAAGAACCUUACCAGGGCUUGACAUGCAGAGAAAUCCUGUAGAGAUAUGGGGUCCUUCGGGGAACUGCAGACGUGGUGCAUGGCUGUCGUCAGCUCGUGUCGUGAGAUGUUGGGUUAAGUCCCGCAACGAGCGCAACCCUUGUCCUAUGUUGCCAGCGCGUAAUGUCGGGGACUCAUAGGAGACUGCCGG